GGGACUGUAUGUUACCAGGUUUGACAACUGAAAACUUGAUUUGCCACUGCUUGCAUAUCAUUUGUUUCCAGAGGCGUAAAUAAGGUUUAGCGAUAUCCUACAGUCGCCCUGGGUGCAGUGUUAACUAGGGCGGUCCCGAAUACUAUUUUUUUGGCUUUGACGCUUCGGUGAGUAAUAUUCAAAAGCUGACAUGUUCUUCUGUCUGUCUGUCUCCAUUUCCGUCGUUUCAGUGUCCGGGAAAGUGCUCUAGGCGCAACAAACAGCCAUAUCCGUCUGAGAAUAACUAAUAAUGAAUGUUGAAUAUGAAUAAUGUUAUGGGACUAUUCCUUAUUUCAUGGGCAAUUUUGGGAUUUAUACAUUAUUAUUAUUACAUACUUAUAUAUAAACAAAAAACGAAGCAUUCUAAUACUGAUUUUGAGGUUGAAUACCAUGGCAGCAGUUGAAGCAUUGGGGUCAACCUUAGUGUUAACAUUUUAAUUUUAUUAGCGUGUUUUAGUGCCCCGGACCAGAAAAAAAUACUCUUGGAAUAUUCAAAACAACUACACGCACAUAAUAAAGAAAUAAUUUAUUUAGUCCUGAUGUCCGCUACGAUUGCAAUCACAAAAGACACAAGCAUUAGGCAAGAUGUGAGCCAGCUUGGCAGAUUAUAGCCUUUCCAUUGCAGUCAUACAGAUUUGCUGAAGUCAUGCCCUGAACACUUUAUAAGAUGACUUAGAAAAAAAAAUAUUUGUAUAAAGGAAAAAGACAAACUGCAACCACGCUUUUUCUUUAAAUUAAAGGGCACACUUCCAUAAAAUGAUUUACAAUCACUUUCCUUUUGUACAUACACAUUAAUGGCUACAGAGCCAUGAAGGGGUUCAGGUGUAUAAGUUACACAGGGGGUAUGGACACUGGGGCGAUGAUGGUUGAAAGCAAAUUUAGGUGCCAAAAAAAAA